AAGAGACGGAAGACCAUCGCUUCGGUCCUUUUCCCUGGAUGAAGACUAGGAGACGGUUUGUUUAAUCGGGCUGGAGGUUCUUGCAGAUGUUUGCAGCAGCUCAGUCCAGGUUGGUCGACACAGAAAAUGGCCUUCAGGGACACCGUAGUGGUGCAGGGGUUGGUGGAGGUAGAACUCUGGGCUCGCUGAACAUGAAAGGGUAAAUAUCCUGGCAGUGGUGUCUCGUGGUGGUUAAAGCUCGUAAAGAGCGGU